GACGAACGCUGGCGGCGUGCUUAACACAUGCAAGUCGAGCGGUAAGGCCCUUUCGGGGUACGACGAGCGGCGAACGGGUGAGUAACACGUGGGUGACCUGCCCUCAGCUCUGGGAUAAGCCUGGGAAACCGGGUCUAAUACUGGAUAUGACUCCAUGACGCAUGUUGUGGGGUGGAAAGCCUUGUGCGGCUGAGGAUGGGCCCGCGGCCUAUCAGCUUGUUGGUGGGGUGANGGCCUACCAAGGCGACGACGGGUAGCCGGCCUNAGAGGGCGACCGGCCACACUGGGACUGAGACACGGCCCAGACUCCUACGGGAGGCAGCAGUGGGGAAUCUUGCGCAAUGGGCGAAAGCCUGACGCAGCGACGCCGCGUGAGGGAUGACGGCCU
rnacentral:rRNA from 1 species